UCGAUCGCGACCCCAGGUCAGGCGGGACUAC
rnacentral:rRNA from 1 species